GAGCCUGUAGCUCAGCCCGGUAGAGCACUGCUCUGAUAAGGCAGGGGUCCACGGUUCAAAUCCGUGCAGGCUCA
rnacentral:tRNA from 1 species